AAAUUUCUGGACAGGAAAAGGAAGAUCCUGAGGUCAAGUCCAGUCCAGAUGUCUCAGAGCCAGUGUCAGCACAUCUGGAGGCCUCAAGCCUAAUUUGCAGCCACAAGUCAAUGGAAAUUGCUAGAGAUCACAACUCUGUUAUUACUCUCUACCUUACACACAGCUAAACCACAAAAAAAUUGUGUGCUCCAUUCAGCAGGAGAUAUACCUAGGUUUUUUAAACAUGGAGAUAUAAUGUUGGCCGGGGUCUUUCAGUUUACAAAUGGAUUUUAUAAUGAGAUUCAAUACAACA